CCUACGGGCGGCAGCAGUAGGGAAUCUUCCACAAUGGACGAAAGUCUGAUGGAGCAACGCCGCGUGAGUGAAGAAGGGUUUCGGCUCGUAAAGCUCUGUUGGGAGGGAAGAAAGAUAGAGGUAGGAAAUGGCCUUUAUUUGACGGUAAUUACUUAGAAAGUCACGGCUAACUACGUGCCAGCAGCCGCGGUAAUACGUAGGUGGCAAGCGUUGUCCGGAUUUAGUGGGCGUAAAGCGAGUGCAGGCGGUUCAAUAAGUCUGAUGUGAAAGCCCUCGGCUCAACCGGAGAAUUGCAUCAGAAACUGUUGAACUGGAGAGCAGAAGAGGAGAGUGGAACUCCAUGUGUAGCGGUAGAAUGCGUAGAUAUAUGGAAGAACACCAGUGGCGAAGGCGGCUCUCUGGUCUGCAACUGACGCUGAGGCACGAAAGCAUGGGUAGCGAACAGGAUUAGAUACCCUUGUAGUC
rnacentral:rRNA from 1 species